AAAUUUAAAAAAGUCAAUUAAUUCAAAUAAUAGUAGUUCAGGUCGGUUAACCGAUUGAACACCCUUAUCUAUUUCAACUAAAAAACCAAACUUUAUCUCUAAAUAUAUCAACCAAUAUCAACUUUAAAAUUUAAACUUACUCCAAAACUCAUUAACACCUCUAGAUGCUACAAAAGCUUAAUAUUUUACGUGCUUAUUGAAAUCUACACGUUUAGAAUUAUAUACUAUUUGGUGGGCCUAUCGAGGCAGAGAAGCCGAGGUGAUACCCACUGCAACACACACAUGCUACCUUUCUCUCUCCAUUUUCUUUUCUAUUUCAUCUCCUUCUUAACUUAUUAUAAAUACUCACCCGUCACUCCAUUUCUUCACUCCUCUCUCAUUAUCUCUCAGCCCCC
rnacentral:lncRNA from 1 species